UGCAACAGCGAAUGUGAGGGCGG
rnacentral:piRNA from 1 species